UGCUGCACUCUGCCGCUGAAGCCCCACGCAAGCAUGGCAGGCUGCUUGGCCCUUGAGAGAAUGUGAGCCACCAGGCUUGAUUAGAUUCUUGGUAUUGGCUGGUAUGUGACAGUUCGUCCUACUGAGGCAAGGGCUAAGUUACUCAGCUUUUUAUCAAGUAUCUGGAUCUUCAUCAAGGUCAACGAGCUAGUUUCAAGGAACUCGCCAGCUCUAACCUUUGACCCCCACGGGCCUUUCAGCCUUGCCUCCCUGUGGACAUUCUCCACAUUGACACAUUUUGGGGGCUUUACUUGUGACAGGCUGUCACUGGAUAUGCCAGGCUGGCCUCAAAUGGCUUAUUGCGAUUGCAAAUUGUUUUGAGUGCCCUAAACAAAGCUAUGUAUCACCCUCCCUAGCCCCCUGGGAUGCUCUUAGGAGAAACUUUUCACCUUCAGCAGAAGAAGUGGGAGUCAGAAGGGAGACCCUCAGGUGCUCUGGGGGGUCACUGUGGAGCUCUCAGGAAGGAGGAGUUGGUCUCAAGAGACAUAUUGGUAUUCUCACUGCGGUCUCUCAUUUGCAGCCUCCACUGGGGCUCAUUCCUUCUGGCUGCCCAAACUACAGCCCAAAAUUAAAUCUACUCUCAGACUCCA
rnacentral:lncRNA from 1 species